rnacentral:rRNA from 1 species
GACGAACGCUGGCGGCGUGCUUAACACAUGCAAGUCGAACGGAAAGGCCCUGCUUUUGUGGGGUGCUCGAGUGGCGAACGGGUGAGUAACACGUGUGUAACCUGCCCUUGACUUUGGGAUAACUUCAGGAAACUGGGGCUAAUACCGGAUCGGAGCUCCUGCUGCAUGGUGGGGGUUGGAAAGUUUCGGCGGUUGGGGAUGGACUCGCGGCUUAUCAGCUUGUUGGUGGGGUAGUGGCUUACCAAGGCUUUGACGGGUAGCCGGCCUGAGAGGGUGACCGGCCACAUUGGGACUGAGAUACGGCCCAGACUCCUACGGGAGGCAGCAGUGGGGAAUAUUGCACAAUGGGCGGAAGCCUGAUGCAGCAACGCCGCGUGCGGGAUGACGGCCUUCGGGUUGUAAACCGCUUUCGCCUGUGACGAAGCGUGAGUGACGGUAAUGGGUAAAGAAGCACCGGCUAACUACGUG